rnacentral:rRNA from 1 species
UACGAGAGGUCCGAGCGUUACGCGGAAUUACUGGGCUUAAAGCGUACGUAGGCGGAUCUACAGGUAUCCUGUGAAAGCCCACGGCUCAACCGUGGAAUUGCAGGGUAAACCGUAGAUCUUGAGGUGGCUAGGGGCUCUCGGAACGGUAGGUGGAGUGGUGAAAUGCGUUGAUAUCUACCGGAACGCCAAAGGGGAAGCCAGGGAGCUGGGGCCAUUCUGACGCUGAGGUACGAAAGCGUGGGUAGCGAACGGG